rnacentral:rRNA from 1 species
CCUACGGGGGGCAGCAGUGAGGAAUAUUGGUCAAUGGACGAGAGUCUGAACCAGCCAAGUAGCUUGCAUUCUUCCUUCCCUCUUUUUUUUCCCCUUCUUUUUUCUUUUCUUCCAAUUUUCCACGUGUGGGAUUAUGUAUGUACCAUAUGAAUAAGGAUCGGCUAACUCCGUGACAGCGGCCGCGGUAAUAAGGCGGAUCCGUUGGUUAUCCGGAGGUAGUGGGUUUAAAGGGAGUGUAGGUGGGUUGUUAAGUCAGUUGUGAAAGUUCGCGGCUCAACCGUAAACUGGCAGUUGAAACUGGCAGUCUUGAGUACAGUAGAGGUAGACGGAAUUCGUGGUGUAGAGGUGAAAUGCGUAGAGAUCAUGCAGAACACCGAUGGCGAAGGCAGCUUAC